rnacentral:ncRNA from 1 species
AUAGUUUUGGUCCUGGACUUACCGUUGUUUUUUGUCAAGAUUACACAUGCAAGUCUCUGCACACCAGUGAAAAUGCCCAAACCCCCUUAAAAGAAAGACUGGAGCAGGCAUCAGGCACUACAAUUUUAAGCCCAUAACGCCUUGCUUUGCCACGCCCCCACGGGUCAAUCAGCAGUGAUAAACAUUGGGCUAUAAGCGAAAGCUUGACCCAACUAUGACAACAUUAGGGCUGGUUAAUUUCGUGCCAGCCACCGCGGUUAUACGAAAAGCCCAAAACAACGACAAACGGCGUAAAAUGUGACUAGAGAUCUCUUAAUAUUUUUAACAUUAAAACCCACAGCCUAGUUGUAAAACACUUAGGAAGAGAGGAAAAACAACACAAAUGUUUUUUAUAUUAUACCCUUGACCCCACGAAAGCUUAGAAACAAACUAGGAUUAGAUACCCUACUAUGCUAAGCCAUAAACCCUGAUAGUCUCUUAUACAAAACUUUCCGCCAGAGAACUACAAGUGAAAAACUUGAAACUCAAAGGACUUGACGGUGUCCCAUAUCGCCCUAGAGGAGCCUGUCCUAUAAUCGAUACUCCCCGUUCCACCCAACCUCAACUAGCAUAUCAUCAGCCUAUAUACCGCCGUCGAUCAGCCUACCCUAUGAAGGUCUAAUAGUAGACACAACAGCUUGUACCGCUAAUACGUCAGGUCAAGGUGUAGCAAAUGUUGAGGAAGAGAUUGGCUACAUUUUUUAUAAUAAAAAACACGAAAAGCACUAUGAAACUGUGCAUGAAGGUGAAUUUAGUAGUAAAAUAGACAAGUGUGUCUACUUUAACAUCGCUCUGGGACGCGUACACACCGCCCGUCACCCUCCUCAACAGCAACGAAAACUAUUUUAUAAAUCAACAAGUUAAACAGAGGAGGCAAGUCGUAACAUGGUAAGCGUACCGGAAGGUGUGCUUGGACUAAC